rnacentral:rRNA from 1 species
UGGGGAAUAUUGCACAAUGGGGGAAACCCUGAUGCAGCGACGCCGCGUGAGUGAAGAAGUAUUUCGGUAUGUAAAGCUCUAUCAGCAGGGAAGAAAAUGACGGUACCUGACUAAGAAGCCCCGGCUAACUACGUGCCAGCAGCCGCGGUAAUACGUAGGGGGCAAGCGUUAUCCGGAUUUACUGGGUGUAAAGGGAGCGUAGGUGGUGUGGUAAGUCAGAUGUGAAAGCCCGGGGCUCAACUCCGGGAUUGCAUUUGAAACUAUCAUGCUAGAGUGCAGGAGAGGUAAGUGGAAUUCCUAGUGUAGCGGUGAAAUGCGUAGAUAUUAGGAGGAACACCAGUGGCGAAGGCGGCUUACUGGACUGUAACUGACACUGAGGCUCGAAAGCGUGGGGAGCGAACAGG